rnacentral:rRNA from 1 species
UACGUAGGGGGCAAGCGUUGUCCGGAUUCAUUGGGCGUAAAGAGCAUGUAGGCGGCCAGGUAGGUCCGUUGUGAAAACUCGAGGCUCAACCUCGAGACGUCGAUGGAAACCAUCUGGCUAGAGUCCGGAAGAGGAGAGUGGAAUUCCUGGUGUAGCGGUGAAAUGCGCAGAUAUCAGGAAGAACACCUAUGGCGAAGGCAGCUCUCUGGGACGGUACUGACGCUGAGACGCGAAAGCGUGGGGAGCGAACAGG